UACAGAGGGGGCAAGCGUUGUUCGGAAUCACUGGGCGUAAAGGGCGCGUAGGCGGCCUGAUAAGUAGGGGGUGAAAUCCUGCGGCUUAACCGCAGGGCUGCCUUCUAAACUGUCAGGCUUGAGCACAGUAGAGGCAGGUGGAAUUCCCGGUGUAGCGGUGGAAUGCGUAGAGAUCGGGAAGAACAUCAGUGGCGAAGGCGGCCUGCUGGGCUGUUGCUGACGCUGAGGCGCGACAGCGUGGGGAGCAAACAGG
rnacentral:rRNA from 1 species